CAGGUAGGGCAAUGCUUCUGACUUGUCUGAUGUCUGUUUCAUGCUCUGUUGAAUUGUCUGGUCGAGAAGACUUGUCAGACAGUAAUGGAGCUCAACCUGAACGUUUGACCUGGUUCAUAUCGUGUCUUGUUCAUGUUCAGAUUCUGUGUCUGUGUGUGUCGUGCCGGGUGUCAUCAACAAUGUUAUAUUUCUCACCCAUGCAGUCAUUUGACUUAAAACAAGCCGUGCUAGACUUUGGGGGAAAUUUUCUGAUGCAGGAUCACUAUUGACAUUUUUUAAAAAUCUGACCCCUUACUAUCCUGUGCACAAGUCAUUCUUAAAGAAGAAGGGAAAAAAGUUCGAACCGGGGAUCAAAUACAUAUCAUCUGUAUUACUUUGACAUUGUGGACUCUUCAGUCAAAUAUUGGGAAGAAGAGCACACCGGUCCUCGCCUACCCGUCAGGAGAAAUCCUUCCUAAAGAUCAUUAGGAUAAUGGGGCAGCCCGAUUCCAAAAUGGACUUUUCGGAGUUAUUUUUUUGCCGGCAUUCUAGGUAUUCAUGAUUGGAAGUUUUUGGUUUUUUUUUAAAUUACUUUUGUAUAGCGCAUUUUUCGUGCAUUGACAUGUCUUGUGAGAGGAGGGGGGGGGGUGAUGAGGUAUCUGGAAGAAGGUCUCCUUGCUCUACUUCAGCCAAUGCAACUCAGGGAUUUGAACUCCUGCCCCUCUCCCACUUGAUAGUUCAGCGAUUUAUGUCAUUCAGCCACUCAUCUAAUAGAAUUAUUUCAUUUACAAAAUGCAUGUUGGUGUGGACAGACAGGUCAAGUGAAGACAGACAGGAAAUCUCAGGACGAUCAAACAAGUAUGUCUGCAGUGAUGUGGGACCAGGUCUAACUACCAUCUUUGACUACUACAUGGUCAGCUUGAGAGUCAAUCGCCUUACUUAACUGAUUACAUGACAGCAACUGACCUUGUCAUUAUCUUCAUGUCAUAGGAAACACGGAGGAUAUGCUCUACUAAUCUCGGAGUGCUGGGAUGUAAUUCCUUCUUUGCACAUCCGGUGCAGGUCUACUAAUGAUCCCCUAGAUCUACAUGUUUCACUACCAAGAUGUACCUAACCCAGGUAUUAGAUAUUUCACCUCGCAGAUUUGCUUGACAUGGCCGACCUUGACACGUGACAUCAACACGUGGUAUACAAUUACAAUCAGGUAUCCAGAAAUGUUUGUUUCACAUCCUUAAUGUUUAAAGAUAGAAAUCUGGAAAAAUCUAGUUUGGACAGGUUUAAUAUGGAUGUCAUGACUAACUAGAAUGACAGGAUAUCUGAGUGAAAAGUCACUUUGCGUGAAAAUAACAGGGCUGGAAUUAGGUUCUAUGAGACCCUGGGCUGAAUUGUUGUGAUGGUCAGUGGCGUAGCAUCCAUGGCGCGAAGGGGUUCAAUGAACCCGGGCCCACGGGUACCUUGCUACGCCACUGGUGAUGGCCCCUCUCUCUUAUACAGAUGCUUUAAUAAAAUUGUAGCUUCUCAAUAGUGGAUAUGAUUAUUUAAAGGCAUGUCAUAUUUUCAAUGGAAUAAAAAGAACAUUUGUAAA